rnacentral:rRNA from 1 species
GACGAACGCCGGCGGCGUGCCUAAUACAUGCAAGUUGAGCGCUGAAGGUUGGUACUUGUACCAACUGGAUGAGCAGCGAACGGGUGAGUAACGCGUGGGGAAUCUGCCUUUGAGCGGGGGACAACAUUUGGAAACGAAUGCUAAUACCGCAUAAAAACUUUAAACACAAGUUUUAAGUUUGAAAGAUGCAAUUGCAUCACUCAAAGAUGAUCCCGCGUUGUAUUAGCUAGUUGGUGAGGUAAAGGCUCACCAAGGCGAUGAUACAUAGCCGACCUGAGAGGGUGAUCGGCCACAUUGGGACUGUGACACGGCCCAAACUCCUACGGGAGGCAGCAGUAGGGAAUCGUCGGCAAUGGACGAAAGUCUGACCGAGCAACGCCGCGUGAGUGAAGAGGGUUUUCGGAUCGUAAAACUCGGUUGGUAGAGAAGAACGUUGGUGAGAGUGGAAAGCUCAUCAAGUGACGGUAACUACCCAGAAAGGGACGGCUAACUACGUG